rnacentral:rRNA from 1 species
AGUGAACGCUGGCGGUAGGCCUAACACAUGCAAGUCGAACGGCAGCACAGUAAGAGCUUGCUCUUACGGGUGGCGAGUGGCGGACGGGUGAGGAAUACAUCGGAAUCUACUUUUUCGUGGGGGAUAACGUAGGGAAACUUACGCUAAUACCGCAUACGACCUACGGGUGAAAGCAGGGGAUCUUCGGACCUUGCGCGAUUGAAUGAGCCGAUGUCGGAUUAGCUAGUUGGCGGGGUAAAGGCCCACCAAGGCGACGAUCCGUAGCUGGUCUGAGAGGAUGAUCAGCCACACUGGAACUGAGACACGGUCCAGACUCCUACGGGAGGCAGCAGUGGGGAAUAUUGGACAAGGGGCGCAAGCCUGAGCCAGCCAUACCGCGUGGGUGAAGAAGGCCUUCGGGUUGUAAAGCCCUUUUGUUGGGAAAGAAAAGCAGCAGGUUAAUACCCCGCUGUUCUGACGGUACCCAAAGAAUAAGCACCGGCUAACUUCGUG